rnacentral:rRNA from 1 species
GGGCCCGCACAAGCGGUGGAGCAUGUGGUUUAAUUCGAUGCAACGCGAAGAACCUUACCUGGUCUUGACAUACACAGAAUCUUGUAGAGAUACGAGAGUGCCUUCGGGAAUUGUGAUACAGGUGCUGCAUGGCUGUCGUCAGCUCGUGUCGUGAGAUGUUGGGUUAAGUCCCGUAACGAGCGCAACCCUUAUCCUUAGUUGCCAGCGAUUUGGUCGGGGACUCUAAGGAGACUGCCGGUGUUAAACCGGAGGAAGGCGGGGACGACGUCAAGUCAUCAUGGCCCUUACGGGUAGGGCUACACACGUGCUACAAUGGACGGUACAGAGGGUUGCGAAGCUGUGAAGUGGAGCCAAUCCCAAAAAGCCGUUCGUAGUCCGGAUUGGAGUCUGCAACUCGACUCCAUGAAGUCGGAAUCGCUAGUAAUCG